CCUACGGGGGGCAGCAGUGGGGAAUAUUGGACAAUGGGCGAAAGCCUGAUCCAGCCAUGCCGCGUGUGUGAAGAAGGCCUUCGGGUUGUAAAGCACUCUCAGUGGGGAAGAAAGCCUUGGGGCUAAUACCCUCGAGGAAGGACAUCACCCACAGAAGAAGCACCGGCUAACUCCGUGCCAGCAGCCGCGGUAAUACGGAGGGUGCGAGCGUUAAUCGGAAUUACUGGGCGUAAAGCGCGCGUAGGCGGUCUGAUAAGCCGGUUGUGAAAGCCCCGGGCUCAACCUGGGAACGGCAUCCGGAACUGUCAGGCUAGAGUGCAGGAGAGGAAGGUAGAAUUCCCGGUGUAGCGGUGAAAUGCGUAGAGAUCGGGAGGAAUACCAGUGGCGAAGGCGGCCUUCUGGACUGACACUGACGCUGAGGUGCGAAAGCGUGGGUAGCAAACAGGAUUAGAUACCCGAGUAGUC
rnacentral:rRNA from 1 species